CGACGCUUGGAAUCAAGAUGCUUUGGGCCCGGGAAAGUAAUAGCUACCGAUCAAGGGGAUCUCUUCACGGUAGCCGGUAUAGCCGGUCAGGUGCGACCCGCAAGGGCGAGAAGGCAAUGGCAGGGCAGCGUAAAACCCCAACCACGGGCGCUGUCACUGUCCUAAAACCCACCGACCGCCAGACGCCGAAGAGGGCAGGGAGCGCAGAGGUAACCCACUCCCGAAAGUCUGGAACGCCU
rnacentral:sRNA from 12 species